rnacentral:misc_RNA from 1 species
ACCUAGACGAGUCAUUGCAUAUGGAAAUUUGACACAAAAUUCUCCAGAGUUCAAAUUGUUGUUUUUUUUUUUUUGAAUUGCGAGUUCAAAUUGUUAUGUUUGAAAUGAUAGGGCUCACACUGUAAUCUGCCCCAUACUUCAUAGUUUUUUUUUUCCUUCAUAAUUAACCACUUCGAGGUGUAUAUAUUUUAAUGUGUGAACAUGUGCUGUCACAUAAGAACAAUUCCUUUCACUCCUUAUUUGAAAGUCUUGGCUCCACACCUGUUUUAGGAGCUGGCUAUGGAUAUUGUUUAUUAGGGAUGACAAAAGUUCUCAAAUCCGAUCCGAUAGGCCCUGAACCCAAUCUAUUUUUCCCGACCCCGAUUUGUGCAGGGCGGAAAUGGG